UAUCGAGCUUGGGAUGGUGGAUUUUGAUGUAAUCAUGGGGAUGGAUUGGCUCUAUUCGUGCUUUGCUAAACUUGAUUGCCGGACGAGAAUCAUGAGACUCGAGUUCCUAAUGAGCCAGUUAUUAAAUGGAAGGGAAAUGGCGUUGUGCCGAGGGGUAGGUUUAUUUCCUAUCUCAAGGCUUCGAAGAUGAUCAGGAAGGGCUGUAUCUAUCAUUUAGUCCUGGUGGCAGAAACUACUCCAAAGGUACCUGCCCCCGAGUCCAUGCCAGUUGUGAAUGCGUUUCCUGAGGUAUUUCUAGAUGAGCUUCCAGGAAUUCCGCCAGAUAGGGAGAUUGAUUUUGGGAUUGAUGUAUUGCCAGAUAGGGUUGUAUUUUGUCCUGGGCCCGGGCCUAAACGGGCUUCGCGGGCCGGGCUUCGCGGUCCCGGGGUUCGUGGGCCUGGGCUCUGGCGGUCCCGGUCGUCCUGGGCUCAAUGGGUGAGACCAGCCCGUGACGGGCAUAUGCUCAUGUGGUCCUGGGCUUAGCAGGCCGGACUUGGUGGGCCUGGCGGGCUCUUUUGUAAUUUUUGUUAAG
rnacentral:lncRNA from 1 species